rnacentral:rRNA from 1 species
AUUGAACGCUGGCGGCAUGCCUUACACAUGCAAGUCGAACGGCAGCAUGAUGUUUCCUCCUGGAUUCAUGGCGGGAGGCGUGCGUGAUGCUUAUACAUCUGCCCGUGCCUGGUGGUUGGGGUUCACUAGCCGACAGUUAUGCUACUUCCGUCUUCGGCCUGAGAGUGAGGGUGCUUCGCCGCACGGCCUCUCGCUUUAGGCUCGGCCGGAGUCGGAUUAGCUAGUUGGUGAGGUAAAGGCUCACCAAGGCGACGAUCAGUAGCUGGUCUGAGAGGACGAUCAGCCACACUGGAACUGAGACACGGCCCAGACUCCUACGGGAGGCAGCAGUGGGGAAUAUUGGACAAUGGGCGAAAGCCUGAUCCAGCAAUGCCGCGUGUGUGAAGAAGGCCUUCGGGUUGUAAAGCACUUUUGGCCGGAAAGAAGGGGAGCAAGUUAAUACCUGGCGGCGAUGACGGUACCAGAAGAAUAAGGACCGGCUAACUACGUG